rnacentral:rRNA from 1 species
UUACGGCCAUAUCACAUUGAAAUACCGGUUCCCGUACGAUCACCGAAGUUAAGCAACGUCGAACUUGGUUGGUCAGUAUUUAGAUGGGUGACCGUUUCGGAAUACCAUGUGCU